UACGUAGGUGACCAGCGUUGUCCGGAUUUACUGGGCGUAAAGAGCGCGCAGGCGGUCGUUCAAGUCGAGUGUGAAAGCCCCCGGCUCAACUGGGGAGGGUCAUUCGAUACUGAUCGACUUGAAGGCAGGAGAGGGAAGCGGAAUUCCCGGUGUAGUGGUGAAAUGCGUAGAUAUCGGGAGGAACACCAGUGGCGAAGGCGGCUUCCUGGACUGUUCUUGACGCUGAGGCGCGAAAGCUAGGGGAGCAAACGGG
rnacentral:rRNA from 1 species